rnacentral:rRNA from 1 species
GACGAACGCUGGCGGCGUGCCUAAUACAUGCAAGUAGAACGCUGAAGGAGGAGCUUGCUUCUCUGGAUGAGUUGCGAACGGGUGAGUAACGCGUAGGUAACCUGCCUGGUAGCGGGGGAUAACUAUUGGAAACGAUAGCUAAUACCGCAUAAGAGUAGAUGUUGCAUGACAUUUGCUUAAAAGGUGCAAUUGCAUCACUACCAGAUGGACCUGCGUUGUAUUAGCUAGUUGGUGAGGUAACGGCUCACCAAGGCGACGAUACAUAGCCGACCUGAGAGGGUGAUCGGCCACACUGGGAGUGAGACACGGCCCAGACUCCUACGGGAGGCAGCAGUAGGGAAUCUUCGGCAAUGGACGGAAGACAGACCGAGCAACGCCGCGUGAGUGAAGAAGGUUGUCGGAUCGUAAAGCUCGGUUGUAAGAGAAGAACGAGUGUGAGAGUGGAAAGUUCACACUGUGACGGUAUCUUACCAGAAAGGGACGGCUAACUACGUG